GAUGAACGCUAGCGGCAGGCCUAACACAUGCAAGUCGAGGGGCAGCACAGAAACAGCAAUGUUUUGGUGGCGACCGGCGGACGGGUGCGUAACGCGUAUGCAACCUACCUUUAACAGGGGGAUAACGGAGGGAAAUUUCCACUAAUACCCCAUAACAUCGAUCAAGGCAUCUUGAUUGGUUGAAAACUCCGGUGGUUAAAGAUGGGCAUGCGUUGUAUUAGGUAGUUGGUGAGGUAAUGGCUCACCAAGCCUACGAUACAUAGGGGGACUGAGAGGUUAGCCCCCCACACUGGUACUGAGACACGGAUCAGACUCCUACGGGAGGCAGCAGUGAGGAAUAUUGGUCAAUGGGGGCAACCCUGAACCAGCCAUGCCGCGUGCAGGAAGACGGCUCUAUGAGUUGUAAACUGCUUUUAAACAGGGAUAAAGCACAGUAUGUAUACUGUGUUGAAGGUACUGUAGAAUAAGGAUCGGCUAACUCCGUGCCAGCCGCCGCCGUAA
rnacentral:rRNA from 1 species